rnacentral:sRNA from 1 species
CAACGCACCCGUGCCAAGUCCCCCCUGAGUACCUCCCAGCCACAUGUGCCUGCCAAGUAACAAAAAGAUACCUCGGCACAAUUAGCUAGCACAUACUCUGCUAAGCUAUCUCUUGCUGCUAAGCUAUCUCUUGCUGCUAUCCCUUGCUGCUAAGCUAUUUCUUGCUGUCAAUUUAUCUACCACUGCUAUUCCUUGCUGCUAAGCUAUCUCUUGCUGCUAAGCUAUCUCUUGCUGCUAUCCCUUGCUGCUAAGCUAUUUCUUGCUGUCAAUUUAUCUACCACUGCUAUUCCUUGCUGCUAAGCUAUCCCUCACUGCUACACUAUCUCUCACUGCUAAGCUAUCCCUCACUGCUAAGCUAUCUCUUGCUGCUAAGCUAUCCCUUGCUGCUAAGCUAUCCCUCACUGCUAAACUAUCCCUCACUGCUACACUAUCUCUCACUGCUAAGCUAUCCCUCACUGCUAAGCUAUCUCUUGCUGCUAAGCUAUCCCUUGCUGCUAAGCUAUCCCUCACUGCUAAACUAUCCCUCACUGCUACACUAUCUCUCACUGCUAAGCUAUCCCUCACUGCUAAGCUAUCCCUUGCUGCUAAGCUAUCCCUUGCUGCUAAGCUAUCCAUCGCUGCUAAGCUAUCACUCACUGCUAAUCUAUCCCUCACUGCUAAGCUAUUUCUUGCUGCUAAGCUAUCGCUCGCUGCUAAUCUAUCCCUUGCUGCUAAGCUAUCCCUUGCUGCUAAGCUAUCCCUCACUGCUAAGCUAUCCCUUGCUGCUAAGCCAUCCCUCACUGCUAAGCUAUCCCUCACUGUCAAUUUAUCUAUCACUGCUAAUCUAUCUAUCACUGCUGUCAAUUUAUCUACCACUGUCAAUCUAUCUAUCACUGCUAAUCUAUUGCUGCUAAUCUAUCACUGUCAGUCAAUCUACUGCAGUGAAUCUAUCUAUCACUAUCAUUACUGAUUCAAAAUAGA